CCGCCCCUACGGGACGCAGCAGUGAGGAAUAUUGGUCAAUGGUCGGGAGACUGAACCAGCCAAGCCGCGUGAGGGAGGAAGGUACAGAGUAUCGUAAACCUCUUUUGUCAGGGAACAAAGACUGGGACGCGUCCCCGGAUGAGUGUACCUGAAGAAAAAGCAUCGGCUAACUCCGUGCCAGCAGCCGCGGUAAUACGGAGGAUGCGAUCGUUAUCCGUCUUUAUUUGGUUUAAAGGGUGCGCAUGCGGUCUGUUAAGUCAGCGGACAAAGCCCGGGGCUCCACCCCGGCCCGCCGUU
rnacentral:rRNA from 1 species